rnacentral:rRNA from 1 species
CAGUCGCCGCGGUAAUACGAAGGGGGCUAGCGUUGUUCGGAUUUACUGGGCGUAAAGCGCACGUAGGCGGACUUUUAAGUCAGGGGUGAAAUCCCGGGGCUCAACCCCGGAACUGCCUUUGAUACUGGAAGUCUUGAGUAUGGUAGAGGUGAGUGGAAUUCCGAGUGUAGAGGUGAAAUUCGUAGAUAUUCGGAGGAACACCAGUGGCGAAGGCGGCUCACUGGACCAUUACUGACGCUGAGGUGCGAAAGCGUGGGGAGCAAACAGGAUUAGAUACCCCCGUAGUCCCUGUCUCUUAUAA